GACGAACGCUGGCGGCGUGCCUAACACAUGCAAGUCGAACGAGAUCCAUGGGAGCUUGCUCCCGGAAGAUCUAGUGGCGAACGGGUGAGUAACACGUGAGAAACCUGCCCUGGAGUGGGGAAUAACUCGGGGAAACUCGAGCUAAUACCGCAUACCCUCGGAUGGUCGCAUGGCCGACCGAGGAAAGAUUUAUCGCUCUAGGAGGGUCUCGCGGCCUAUCAGCUAGUUGGUGGGGUAACGCCUACCAAGGCAACGACGGGUAGCUGGUUUGAGAGAACGAUCAGCCACACUGGGACUGAGACACGGCCCAGACUCCUACGGGAGGCAGCAGUGGGGAAUCUUGCGCAAUGGGCGAAAGCCUGACGCAGCAACGCCGCGUGCGGGAUGACGGCCUUCGU
rnacentral:rRNA from 1 species